CUUGCAGAACAUCGCCAACAUUUAGUUAGCAUACAGAGACUUGUUGAUCAACUAAAGGAAGUCAUUCCAGCAAUGCAGAUGUCAAUUUCAGAUCUCACUGAAGAAGUAAACAAUAUUUCUUCAACCAUGGUAGAUGGGUUUAGUGUGCAAUCAAGCACAACUGUUCAGUGCCAAAGUGCUGGAAGACAGUUGGAAAGGUUGACUGAUGAAGUUGCUGAGAUGACUUGUAAAUUCUCCUCUGCUCAGAUUGAGAAAGUCUCCGGUAGUCCAACUUUGAAACUCCCUCAUUUAUUCAAUCUAACUCCAAAUUCAUCGGGGAAAGGCAACC